UACGUAGGGUGCGAGCGUUGUCCGGAAUUACUGGGCGUAAAGAGCUCGUAGGUGGUUUGUCGCGUUGUUCGUGAAAUCUCACGGCUUAACUGUGAGCGUGCGGGCGAUACGGGCAGACUUGAGUACUUCAGGGGAGACUUGAAUUCCUGGUGUAGCGGUGGAAUGCGCAGAUAUCAGGAGGAACUCCGGUGGCGGAGGCGGGUCUCUGGGCAGUAACUGACGCUGAUGAGCGAAAGCGUGGGGAGCGAACAGG
rnacentral:rRNA from 1 species